UACGUAGGGGGCGAGCGUUAUCCGGAUUUAUUGGGCGUAAAGGGCCUGUAGGCGGUUGGUCAAGUUCAUGCUGACAAUCAUCGGCUCAACCGAUGAGGGAGUAUGAAAACUGGCCGACUUGAGAGCGAGAGAGGGACACGGAACUCCAGGUGGAGCGGUGAAAUGCGUAGAGAUCUGGAAGAACACCGAAGGCGAAGGCAGUGUCCUGGCUCGUUUCUGACGCUGAGGGGCGAAAGCCAGGGGAG
rnacentral:rRNA from 1 species